GAUGAACGCUGGCGGCGUGCCUAAUACAUGCAAGUCGAGCGAACGGACGAGAAGCUUGCUUCUCUGAUGUUAGCGGCGGACGGGUGAGUAACACGUGGAUAACCUACCUAUAAGACUGGGAUAACUUCGGGAAACCGGAUCUAAUACCGGAUAAUAUUUUGAACCGCAUGGUUCAAAAGUGAAAGACGUUCUUGCUGUCACUUAUUGAUGGAUCCUCGCUGCAUUAGCUAGUUGGUAAGGUAACGGCUUACCAAGGCAACGAUGCAUAGCCGACCUGAGAGGGUGAUCGGCCACACUGGAACUGAGACACGGUCCAGACUCCUACGGGAGGCAGCAGUAGGGAAUCUUCCGCAAUGGGCGAAAGCCUGACGGAGCAACGCCGCGUGAGUGAUGAAGGUCUUCGGAUCGUAAAACUCUGUUAGUAGGGAAGAACAUAUGUGUAAGUAACUGUGCACAUCUUGACGGUACCUAAUCAGAAAGCAACGGCUAACUACGUG
rnacentral:rRNA from 1 species